UAGAAUAAAAUGAUGAAGUUACUGUACAACAAAGCAAAUGAGUAACUGAAGAAGUGAAUUAAUUUAGUGACUGAUAUCUUUGAAUGUGGUUCAGUAGAGCUUAGUAGAGUUAUCGGUGCUACUAAGAAGUUCUGCUAAGCAAAGUAGCUCAUACACCAAACAGCCCUUAGUAAAUGGCUUAACGUUUAGUAGUAGUAAAUGUUUAAACUUCCACCCCUAAUGGCCUUUUUGGAGUCCUCAGUUUGUGAUAACUCUAAUACCAUAACCCUGCUAUCUUAUUGGUGCAUCUGGAUAAUGCACUCUCUCUCUCUUUUAUCUUUUCCAGAUGGCCCAUAUUUGGCUGAGUUUCUGCUGGAAAAGAACUACGAGGUUCGAAUCAUCAACUAAGGAGGACAGCAACUAGCCAACAUCCCACAGCAAGGAACACAGGCGAUAAAUUCUUAUUAACUGUGAAGUGUCAACAGGCGACUCGAUGACCUUUUGCAUCUGCUUUGUGACAGCAUUUUGAGUUACUUUGGAAAUCUCGACAGGCUCCAACAAUCAGGUUGAGCGCACAAUGAAAGAGGCAAAAAAGUAAAUCCUUCUGAAAGCAAAAUAAAUGCUUCCUAAUAAUUGGCAGGAAAAGAUUACCCGGGUUACAGAAAUUCACAGCCAAACUAACCUUGAUGUGAAAUAUACUGCAAUUCUUCAUUAACAGAUCUGUAACUGUCCAGUAGCAGCCCUUGGAAAGCAAUGUAAAUAUCUACAAUUACAUACAAUGAUUGGUAAAAAAGAGGAUUCUGAAGCAGUUGAUAAGUUAUGUCAACAGGCAGCAACAUUUUAAAAUGUGAAAGUUUUGUUUAACAUGAAGCCCACCUGACAGUGAGUAGUCCUUUUAGUGGAUUACAAAGUGCUGUUAAUGCAUGUUCUGGACAGUGCAGUUGCCCUGCAAAUAGUUUUAGUUGCACAUGUGCUUGUCAGUAUUUGUGCAAGCUUCUAAAACCACAUGUAGGUCUGCCUCAAACGCUUUGCAUUACAACCAGUAGUGAUCCAGCUGUCACUUCAGCUGACAAACAUUCUGUAGAAUGUAGCUACAUCACAGGCAAAUGUUCCAGAAUUAUUGAAGAGCUUUACCACUAUAGUAAAUCGAAUCAAUUUCAUGCAGAUAAUGCAUUAUAUGCUAGCCUAAAGCAAGCACACAUCUCCUCCUGGGCUCAUAUAUCCCUAAAGGGCGAAAACAGAAAUUUAUGCCGUUACAUUACAGGAAAUCUGUCAAAAGAGCACAUGCAACAUCAAUUAGAGCUUUUGAACACAAUUACACUCUAACACCAAAUAAUUAUGGACCUUUGCAUAACUCAAAAAAUAAAGACCAAGACUACAUUACUAAUGCUAGGAAGCGACAGGUGAGAAGAAGAGUUUCAAGGGUAAAACUGUAUUAGGGUUUAGAUGCUGGGAGCAGCUAAAGACUUUAUAAAUAAUGGACUAAACAGAAAAUGAAAUGUAAAAAAAAGGUAUAUAUUUGUGUGCAUACAUAAUUGUUGUAAAGUUUGUGUGCUGAGUUCCCUAACCUCUGUACUUACCUUUGUGUGUCCACCCUCACUGGGACAGCUUGUCCACCUUGUGACUCCUCUCCCUUAGAUCUGUUUGGUUAAAUCCUUAUAAGGACUAUUGUAAUUGCAUUAAUCUAUAAUAAUGUUCCCUUUGACUUAAUAAUUUGCUUCAGUGGUGUCUUUGCUAGAGCUCACGUUGCAGUUUAAGACUAAAAUGGCUAGAGUAUGUUCAACCUUUUAACACAGACAUCCUAAACUCUUAUUGUCUAUGAACUGAAUUGCUUUAAAUUGGUCUUUUCAUUAUAUUUGCAUUAUUAUCGUUAUGUCUUGAAAUUGGUUGUACCUGUCUAAAGAGAUGUUAGAAGAAAAACAAAAAAUCUGUGCAUUCUUCUUCUUCUUCUUCUUCUUCUUCUUCUUCUU